GUGUCGUAUUUUUGGCUAAAAGCAGCUGUUGCUGCAGGACUGCCUCGGCUCGACCGACCCUCGGAGGCAGCUGGCUCUGGAAGGGUUUGCCUAGAGAAGAUUGCCUCGGGCAGAGAGCAGCCUGUCUCUGCCCUUUGGCUGGUGAUCUUCUGGAGAGCCCAGCUUCGAGGGAUAAAAUCUGGCAGGGUGGUAUUCUCUGAAGGAGAGUCUCCACGAUGGUGUGCUUGCUGCUUCUUCCUAUUAAGACGCGGUUACUUCAGCUAACGCAAAAGUUGAAUUGUGUGUAAGGGUUGCAGAUGAUGCAGCAUGGCUCUGCUCAGACAAGAGCAUGACAAACACACCAUCAUCAGGAACUGGCAACCAGAAAGUCAGCCAAGUAAGAUUUUUGGCAAAUAGUUCGUUCUGUCUUUCUGCCUGUGCCGCCGCCGCUCUGUCCCCUCCAAAGCCUGAACAAAACUGACUUUUUUUAUUGGAAAAUAUAAUGAAAAAACAGUAUUUUGUUUAAAACACAAUUUAGAUUGAAACCUUAUGUACAGACAGCUAAAAUUUUCUACAAUCUGUUAGUUUAACAUAGAAAUAAAGUUCACUGUGAUACCAAUGCAUGCCACCCCAUCACAGGGUUUGUUUUGCAAGCUGUUGCUUCAAAAUGUGCAGAAAAUAUUUUAAAUGUCUCAAGCAAGACCAGACUUUGAGGGAUGUAGUAUCUUUCAUUACAGUAGUGUACUUGGAAAACGUAAGCCAGCCUGUGAUCUGAGUACAAUUUCAGAACAAUUACUCUGUGUAAUUGUAAUUAUGCUGAGGGCAUGCAGUCUCACCUACUGCUUUAAUAUCAGGAAGAAGAAGAUCACCUUUGGACUCCAGGAAGGGAGCAGAAAAAAGAAAGAAGAAAAAGGAUUCCAAAAGUUGCAAUAAAAUCUUCGGCACUUUUCCUGGCUGUAGAGUUAUCAUAGCCAAAACUGAAGAACUGAAGUGGGAAGAACUAGGCUGUCAUUUGAUCACUUCAUAACUUUGCAGAACACAGGAGAGAGCAAGCCAUGCCCUUUGUACAGACAGCAUGUUUGGACUUGGCUUGGGAAGAAUUUGAGUUGCCCCCUCUAACACACAGCACAGAUUGCAAGUCACCUCUAAUAAAGAAACAGAACUAGCACUUAAGCUUACAGAGAAUUUCAAAGAAGCAUCAGAAAUACCAUGGUCAUGAAGAAUGAGUACAACCACAAAGAAACAAAAUAAACUUUAAAGAGAGUGUUUUCAACAGAAGUUUGAAAAGGAGAAGGAUUUUCAACUGUCAUCAGUGUGUAUCAGACCCCUGCUUCUUCCUCAGUCAAGAGAAAUGGACAUUGUAAGUAUGCAGGAUUGCAUCUAACAAUGUCUCACUUCCUCUUGAUAGCAAGCUUGAAAAUGAUUAAUAUUGGUCAUGUGACUAGAUCAAGAAGUGUAAAUGUUUUAACACUUUUUUUCUGUUAUUUCUGAUAACACAUUAACUGAACUUUUCAAAUCAUUAUUCAUCUCUGUAAUGCCUAUUAUAAUAGUAGGUUGGAUGGUGACAGUGUUCGGUCUUAGAAGUCUGAGAGGAUGCUGAAUAAUGAAUGUUGGCAAAGAGUUCUUUUGUUGCAGUCAACACAAAAUGAGGAGAUGGCCUUAGAAAAAACAAUGUCUUGGCUCUUCCUUGUGAAAAUUGAAAUGCAUUAUUUCAAACAUUUGAAUGCAAAAGUUAAUCCUGGCAUAUCUGCCUAAAAGCUACUGAGGACAUCCCUGUAAUCUGGUAACUACAAAAGCAAAGCAUUAGUGUUUUGGGUUUGUGUGGCCGGGUUUUGGUAGCGGGGUAGGGGCUGCAGGGGUG